rnacentral:rRNA from 1 species
GUAGCGAAAUUCCUUGUCGGGUAAGUUCCGACCCGCACGAAAGGCGUAACGAUUUGGGCACUGUCUCAACAAUAGGCUCGGUGAAAUUGUAGUACCGGUAAAGAUGCCGGUUACCCGCAGCUAGACGGAAAGACCCCUUGAACCUUUACUGUAGCCUAGUAUUGACACUUGUCCUGGUCUGCGUAGCAUAGCUGGGAGGCUUCGAAGUUCGGAUUCCGGUUCGAGCUGAGCCGUCGGUGAAAUACCAGCCUGAUCUUGAUAGGUUUCUAACCGCGACCGUAAUCCGGUCGUGGGACCGUGCUAGGUGGGCAGUUUUGCUGGGGCGGUAUCCUCCAAAAGGGUAACGGAGGAGUCCAAAGGUACCCUCAGCCCGGUUGGCAAUCGGGCAACGAGCGUAAAGGUAAAAGGGUGCUUGACUGCGAGCGCGAUGGCGCGAGCAGGGACGAAAGUCGGGAUUAGUGAUCCGGCACCGGCAUGUGGAAGCGGUGUCGCUCAACGGAUAAAAGGUACUCCGGGGAUAACAGGCUGAUCUUGCCCAAGAGUCCAUAUCGACGGCAAGGUUUGGCACCUCGAUGUCGGCUCGUCUCAUCCUGGGGCUGGAGUAGGUCCCAAGGGUUGGGCUGUUCGCCCAUUAAAGAGGCACGCGAGCUGGGUUCAGAACGUCGUGAGACAGUUCGGUCCCUAUCUUCCGUGCGCGAAGGAAACUUGAGAAGGGCUGUCCCUAGUACGAGAGGACCGGGACGGACGAACCUCUUGUGUGUCGGUUGUUUCGCCAGAAGCACGGCCGAUUAGCAACGUUCGGAAGGGAUAACCGCUGAAAGCAUCUAAGCGGGAAGCUCGCUUCAAGAUUAGGUUUCCCACUGGUUUACCAGGUAAGACCCCCAAGAGACUAUUGGGUUGAUAGGCCGGAAGUGGAAGAGGCGCAAGCCUUGCAGAUGACCGGUACUAAUAGGUCGAGGAUUUAACUAC